rnacentral:misc_RNA from 1 species
CUUGAAGUGAACGGUUGUUACAAGUGAUUAGUUCGCAAAAUCACUUUAUUACUAAAGCAAUAUUUAACUGCUUUAUAAGUAUAACAUCAGGAAAAUACAAAUUUUAAUUGAAAUGUUGAAUUUUAAUUUGAUCGCCGCUGUUUGCGAGAACUCAGGUAUAGGUUUAAACGGUGAUUUGCCAUGGAGUUUAAAGUGUGUCGGAAUAUGAAUAUUUUACACAAACAACAAAACGACGAUGUGAUAUCACAAAGCAUAAUGUUGUUAUAAUGGGACGGCUUACUUAUUUAAG